GACGAACGCUGGCGGCGUGCCUAAUACAUGCAAGUAGAACGCUGAAGGAGGAGCUUGCUUCUCUGGAUGAGUUGCGAACGGGUGAGUAACGCGUAGGUAACCUGCCUGGUAGCGGGGGAUAACUAUUGGAAACGAUAGCUAAUACCGCAUAAGAGUAGAUGUUGCAUGACAUUUGCUUAAAAGGUGCAAUUGCAUCACUACCAGAUGGACCUGCGUUGUAUUAGCUAGUUGGUGGGGUAACGGCUCACCAAGGCGACGAUACAUAGCCGACCUGGGAGGGGGAUCGGCCCAACUGGGAAUGAGACACGGCCCAGAACCCUACGGGAGGCAGCAGUAGGGAAUCUUCGGGAAAGGGCGGAAUGCUGACCGGGCAACGCCGGGGGAGGGAAGAAGGGUUUCGGAUCGGAAAGCUCGUUUGUAAAGGAAGAACGAGUUGGAGAGUGAAAAGUUCACGCUGUGACGGUACCUUACCAGAAAGGGACGGCUAACUACGUG
rnacentral:rRNA from 1 species